rfam:Pan troglodytes isolate Yerkes chimp pedigree #C0471 (Clint) chromosome 4, whole genome shotgun sequence.
GCUGGGCGUGGUGGCGCACGUCUGUAAUCCCAGCUACUUGGGAGGCUGAGGCAGGAGAAUUGCUUGAACCUGGGAGGUGGAGGUUGCAGUGAGCCAAGAUCGUGCCACUGCACUCCAGCCUGGGUGACAAAGCAAGACUCCAUCUCAC